rnacentral:rRNA from 1 species
AUUGAACGCUGGCGGCAGGCCUAACACAUGCAAGUCGAACGGUAACAGGAAGCAGCUUGCUGCUUUGCUGACGAGUGGCGGACGGGUGAGUAAUGUCUGGGAAACUGCCUGAUGGAGGGGGAUAACUACUGGAAACGGUAGCUAAUACCGCAUAACGUCGCAAGACCAAAGAGGGGGACCUUCGGGCCUCUUGCCAUCGGAUGUGCCCAGAUGGGAUUAGCUAGUAGGUGGGGUAACGGCUCACCUAGGCGACGAUCCCUAGCUGGUCUGAGAGGAUGACCAGCCACACUGGAACUGAGACACGGUCCAGACUCCGACGGGAAGCAGCAGUGGGGAAUAUUGCACAAUGGGGGCAAGCCUGAUGCAGCCAUGCCGCGUGUAUGAAGAAGGCCUUCGGGUUGUAAAGUACUUUCAGCGGGGAGGAAGGGAGUAAAGUUAAUACCUUUGCUCAUUGACGUUACCCGCAGAAGAAGCACCGGCUAACUCCGUG